AUUACUGUAGGUACUGUACUACUGUAGGUACUGUAGGUACUGUACUACUGUAGGUACUGUAGGUACUGUAUUACUGUAGGUACUGUAGGUACUGUAGGUACUGUAUUACUGUAGGUACUGUAGGUACUGUAUUACUGUAUUACUGUAGGUACUGUAGGUACUGUACUACUGUAGGUACUGUAUUACUGUAGGUACUGUACUACUGUAGGUACUGUAGGUACUGUAGGUACUGUAUUACUGUAGGUACUGUAGGUACUGUAUUACUGUACUACUGUAGGUACUGUAUUACUGUACUACUGUAGGUACUGUAUUACUGUAUUACUGUAGGUACUGUAGGUACUGUGUUACUGUAGGUACUGUAGGUACUGUAUUACUGUAGGUACUGUAUUACUGUAGGUACUGUAUUACUGUAGGUACUGUAGAUACUGUAUUACUGUAGGUACUGUAGGUACUGUAUUACUGUAUUACUGUAGAUACUGUAUUACUGUAGGUACUGUAUUACUGUAGGUACUGUAUUACUGUAGGUACUGUAGAUACUGUAUUACUGUAGGUACUGUAGGUACUGUAUUACUGUAGGUACUGUAGGUACUGUAUUACUGUAGGUACUGUAGGUACUGUAGGUACUGUGUUACUGUAGGUACUGUAGGUACUGUAUUACUGUAGGUACUGUACUACUGUAGGUACUGUAUUACUGUAGGUACUGUAGGUACUGUAUUACUGUAGGUACUGUAGGUACUGUAGGUACUGUAUUACUGUAUUACUGUAGGUACUGUAUUACUGUAGGUACUGUAUUACUGUAGGUACUGUAGGUACUGUAUUACUGUAGGUACUGUAGUUACUGUACUACUGUAGGUACUGUAUUACUGUAGGUACUGUAGGUACUGUAUUACUGUAGGUACUGUAGGUACUGUAGGUACUGUAUUACUGUAUUACUGUAGGUACUGUAUUACUGUAGGUACUGUAUUACUGUAGGUACUGUAGGUACUGUAUUACUGUAGGUACUGUAUUACUGUAGGUACUGUAGAUACUGUAUUACUGUAGGUACUGUAGGUACUGUAUUACUGUAGGUACUGUAUUACUGUAGGUACUGUAGAUACUGUAUUACUGUAGGUACUGUAGGUACUGUAUUACUGUAGGUACUGUAUUACUGUAGGUACUGUAGAUACUGUAUUACUGUAGGUACUGUAGGUACUGUAUUACUGUAGGUACUGUAGGUACUGUAUUACUGUAGGUACUGUAUUACUGUAGGUACUGUAUUACUGUAGGUACUGUAGAUA